AGAGUUUGAUCCUGGCUCAGGAUGAACGCUAGCGGCAGGCCUAAUACAUGCAAGUCGAACGGUAAAUAUUUAGCAAUAAAUAUGAGAGUGACGUACGGGUGCGUAACACGUAUGCAACCUACCCUUUACAGGCGGACAGCUCGGGGAAACUCGAAUUAACCCGCCGUAAUAUAAUUGGAUGGCAUCAUUUGAUUAUUAAAUCUACGGAGGUAAAGGAUGGGCAUGCGUCUGAUUAGUUAGUUGGCGGGGUAACGGCCCACCAAGACGAUGAUCAGUAGGGGAACUGAGAGGUUGAUCCCCCACACUGGCACUGAGAUACGGGCCAGACUCCUACGGGAGGCAGCAGUAGGGAAUAUUGGUCAAUGGAUGGAAGUCUGAACCAGCCAUGCCGCGUGCAGGAAGAAGGCCUUCUGGGUUGUAAACUGCUUUUGCCAGGGGAUAAAAUGACCUUGCGAGGUUAAUUGAAGGUACCUGGUGAAUAAGCCACGGCUAACUACGUGCCAGCAGCCGCGGUAAUACGUAGGUGGCAAGCGUUGUCCGGAUUUAUUGGGUUUAAAGGGUGCGUAGGCGGCUUAUUAAGUCAGUGGUGAAAUACUCUAGCUCAACUAGAGGGGUGCCAUUGAUACUGAUGAGCUUGAGUACAGAUGAGGUAGGCGGAAUUGACGGUGUAGCGGUGAAAUGCUUAGAUAUCGUCAAGAACACCUAUAGCGAAGGCAGCUUACUAGGCUGUAACUGACGCUGAGGCACGAAAGUGUGGGGAUCAAACAGGAUUAGAUACCCUGGUAGUCCACACUGUAAACGUUGAUUACUCGCUGUGUGCGAUAUACAGUACGCGGCCAAGCGAAAGCGAUAAGUAAUCCACCUGGGGAGUACGCCGGCAACGGUGAAACUCAAAGGAAUUGACGGGGUCCGCACAAGCGGUGGAGCAUGUGGUUUAAUUCGAUGAUACGCGAGGAACCUUACCUGGACUAGAAUGCCCUUGACCGAUCCAGAGAUGGAUUUUUCCGCAAGGACAAGGAGCAAGGUGCUGCAUGGCCGUCGUCAGCUCGUGCCGUGAGGUGUUGGGUUAAGUCCCGCAACGAGCGCAACCCCUAUUUUUAGUUGCCAACAGGUUAAGCUGGGGACUCUAAAAAGACUGCCCGCGCAAGCGGAGAGGAAGGAGGGGACGACGUCAGGUCAUCAUGGCCCUUACGUCCAGGGCUACACACGUGCUACAAUGGCGUAUACAGAGUGUUGCAAACCAGCGAUGGUAAGCCAAUCACAAAAAGUACGUCUCAGUUCGGAUUGCAGGCUGCAACUCGCCUGCAUGAAGUUGGAAUCGCUAGUAAUCGCGCAUCAGCAAUGGCGCGGUGAAUACGUUCCCGGACCUUGUACACACCGCCCGUCAAGCCAUGAGAGUCGGGAGGACCUGAAGGCAGUUGCUGUAAGGCGCUGUUAGGGUUAAACCGAUGAUUAGGGCUAAGUCGUAA
rnacentral:rRNA from 1 species